rnacentral:rRNA from 1 species
UGGGGAAUAUUGGACAAUGGGCGAAAGCCUGAUCCAGCCAUGCCGCGUGUGUGAAGAAGGUCUUCGGAUUGUAAAGCACUUUAAGUUGGGAGGAAGGGCAUUAACCUAAUACGUUAGUGUUUUGACGUUACCGACAGAAUAAGCACCGGCUAACUCUGUGCCAGCAGCCGCGGUAAUACAGAGGGUGCAAGCGUUAAUCGGAAUUACUGGGCGUAAAGCGCGCGGAGGUGGGUUGUUAAGUUGGAUGUGAAAUCCCCGGGCUCAACCUGGGAACUGCAUUCAAAACUGACUGACUAGAGUAUGGUAGAGGGUGGUGGAAUUUCCUGUGUAGCGGUGAAAUGCGUAGAUAUAGGAAGGAACACCAGUGGCGAAGGCGACCACCUGGACUAAUACUGACACUGAGGUGCGAAAGCGUGGGGAGCAAACA